CUCAUCCACGCAGCUGCGCAGUGACGUCUGGCUUGUCUCUGGGUGCGCACCAUUUGUAGCCCGGGAGAGCAAGGCGGUGCAGAUAUAGUGAUACAUUGUCAAACGGCGCGUCAGCAGGGCCUAGAAUAGAUGCCUUGCUUAAAUCAAUCGGUGACGGCAGAGAAUAGAAUUGUAUAAUUGUUUAGGUGCCAUUGCGGUUUUCUUUCUUAAACAAACAAUGAAGUCAAUGUGUCUGCAGUAUAAGGAUAUGUAUUGGGAUACAUUUGGCUUUACAGCGGGAAUGUAAUAGGGCAAGAAAAGUACCUGGUUCUUAGAAAACGAAACACUCCUCACGAUAAAUCUCAGGCUGUAAAAUGCAGCGCGUGAUCUUUGUUAAAUGACUUUGUCGGCCUGCCACAGCAAUACACAGAUGAGCAGUGCCUCCUAUGCAUUGAAUAGAAGGCACUUUUCUUCACUUAAAAAAAACCCCCGCCGCUUUCUUUCGAGCAGCACGUUUUUAUAUAUAUUAUCGAAAUGUGCGGCUCGAUCCCGUGAAGUGAACGAUUACUUCUGUUGCCAUAGCGAGUAACCAUGGAGCCGUAAUUAGCGAAAACCUAAAUUUGUUUGCCAUCGUGAAUGGAGCGAGUCAAAAUCAGUGGCCAGGGCUUGGCUGGGACGACCCGGUUGAGGUGACCGUUGUAGAUGACGAUCAGCUGCCAAACCACCAGCUCGGGUUCCCUUUGGUCACAUGAGCUGGGUCACGUGAGCCAUUGGGGGCAACCAGUGGUGCUGCUGGCCUUGCCUCUUCAUGCGGUGGGAAAACAUUCCAACAGCUGGCCUCGGACUGUUUCAGAAACAUCUGCAAUGUUCGCCACUGGAGGAAGUCCCGUCUCUGCAAGAAGGAGCCUGUUAGACAGCUGACGAUGAAGAGACACAAGACCAUAAGUUGGUGUUGCAUGAUGAAUCCUCCCGGCCCCCAAAAGUGAACACACACAUUCACACACUUCUCCAUCGUCUACUGAAAAGUACGCUUGAGCUCCGAGGAAGAAUGCCAUAGCUUAUGUUGUGUGUGUGUAUGUGUGUAAAGCAGAGAAGGUGUGAAAAGUCUGA